rnacentral:rRNA from 1 species
GACGUAGGGCGCGAGCGUUGUCCGGAUUUAUUGGGCGUAAAGCGUGCGCAGGCGGUGAUGCAAGACAGAUGUGAAAUCCCCGGGCUUAACCUGGGAACUGCAUUUGUGACUGCAUUGCUGGAGUGCGGCAGAGGGGGAUGGAAUUCCGCGUGUAGCAGUGAAAUGCGUAGAUAUGCGGAGGAACACCGAUGGCGAAGGCAAUCCCCUGGGCCUGCACUGACGCUCAUGCACGAAAGCGUGGGGAGCAAACAGG